CCUACGGGCGGCAGCAGUGGGGAAUAUUGCACAAUGGGCGCAAGCCUGAUGCAGCCAUGCCGCGUGUGUGAAGAAGGCCUUCGGGUUGUAAAGCACUUUCAGCGGGGAGGAAGGCGGUGAGGUUAAUAACCUCAUCGAUUGACGUUACCCGCAGAAGAAGCACCGGCUAACUCCGUGCCAGCAGCCGCGGUAAUACGGAGGGUGCAAGCGUUAAUCGGAAUUACUGGGCGUAAAGCGCACGCAGGCGGUCUGUCAAGUCGGAUGUGAAAUCCCCGGGCUCAACCUGGGAACUGCAUUCGAAACUGGCAGGCUAGAGUCUUGUAGAGGGGGUAGAAUUCCAGGUGUAGCGGUGAAAUGCGUAGAGAUCUGGAGGAAUACCGGUGGCGAAGGCGGCCCCCUGGACAAAGACUGACGCUCGGGUGCGAAAGCGUGGGGAGCAAACAGGAUUAGAUACCCGUGUAGUC
rnacentral:rRNA from 1 species